UACGGAGGGUGCAAGCGUUAUCCGGAUUUAUUGGGUUUAAAGGGUCCGUAGGCGGACUUAUAAGUCAGUGGUGAAAUCCUGUCGCUUAACGAUAGAACUGCCAUUGAUACUGUAAGUCUUGAGUAUAUUUGAGGUAGCUGGAAUAAGUAGUGUAGCGGUGAAAUGCAUAGAUAUUACUUAGAACACCAAUUGCGAAGGCAGGUUACCAAGAUGUAACUGACGCUGAGGGACGAAAGCGUGGGGAGCGGAACAGGAUUAGAUACCCGUGUAGU
rnacentral:rRNA from 1 species